UACGUAGGGGCCUAGCGUUGUCCGGAUUUAUUGGGCGUAAAGAGCUCGUAGGCGGUUCGGCAAGUCAGCUGUGAAAUCUCCACGCUUAACGUGGAGGGGUCAGCUGAUACUGCCGUGACUCGAGUCCGGUAGGGGAGUGUGGAAUUCCCGGUGUAGCGGUGAAAUGCGCAGAUAUCAGGAGGAACACCAGCGGCGAAGGCGGCGCUCUGGGCUGGAACUGACGCUGAGGAGCGAAAGCGUGGGGAGCGAACAGG
rnacentral:rRNA from 1 species